rnacentral:rRNA from 1 species
CAGUAGCCGCGGGAAUACCAGUAGCCCAAGUGGUGGUCGCGAUUAUUGGGCCUAAAACGCUCGUAGCCGGGCCGGUAAGUCCCUUGUGAAAUCGGACGGCCUAACCGUUCGGCGUGCAAGGGAUACUGUCGGUCUUGAGGCCGGGAGACGUCCGAGGUACUCCGGGGGUAGCGGUGAAAUGUUCUGAUCCUCGGGGGACCACCGGUGGCGAAGGCGUUCGACGAGAACGGGCCUGACGGUGAGGGGCGAAGGCUAGGGGAGCAAACGGGAUUAGAUACCCCAGUAGUCCCUGUCUCUUAUU